AUGGUCGUCGUCUCCUCCUGCGGCUGCAUCAACACGCGCCGCAUCGACGACCUCCUCCCGCUCCUGCUCCCCUGCGUGGGCGAGCAAACCUCCGACCCCCGAAUCUCUUCGGCUUCCUCCCGCGCCCGCUCCGACGGCGCAGCCGCGGACGCGGAGGAGAACGAGCCCGAGGCGUCCGCGGGGAGGAGCACGCAGGUGCUGCUCGCCGCGGCAGCAAGUGGCGGGCGCGGCGGCCCCUACGGCCGCCGCCCGUCGUCCUCCCAUGGAAGCUGCGCCCCCUGGAACGCCGGCCCCCUCAUCGCGCACCGCCCGGCGACCCCGUCGCCCGUAUGCUGCCCCGUCGUCGCGUCACAGCAGGAACAAGAGCAAGGGAGGUUACCAAUGAGAGCCACUGAUGCUGUCAAUGAAUGGAGAUUGCCUAAAGUAAGUGAAGAGGAAGAUGACGCAGUAGAUCAGAAGGACUGUUAG
rnacentral:rRNA from 1 species